rnacentral:rRNA from 1 species
UCAAAUAACUAAAGGCUUACGGUGGAUACCUAGGCAUUCAGAGACGAAGAAGGGCGUGGAAACCGACGAAACGCUUCGAGGAGCUGGAAACAAGCUUUGAUUCGAAGAUUCCCGAAUAGGGCAACCUUUUCAACUACCUAUUGAAUUCAUAGAUAGGAAAGAGAUAACCCAGUGAAUUGAAACAUCUUAGUAGCUGGAGGAAAAAAAAGCAAAAGCGAUUCCCUUAGUAGCGGCGAGCGGACGGGGAACAGCCUAAACCGAUUCGGUUUUCGAAUCGGGGUCGUGGGAAGAAUUCAUAAAAAAAUAUGAGCUGAGACGAAGCAGUUGAAUCCUGCACCAUAGAUGGUGAAAGUCCCGUAGUCGAAAGCAUAAUAUUUUUUUUCUUAUCCCGAGUAGCAUGGGACACGUGAAAUCCCGUGUGAAUCAGCGAGGACCACCUCGUAAGGCUAAAUACUCCUGAAUGACCGAUAGUGAAGCAGUACCGUGAGGGAAAGGUGAAAAAGAACCCCUGUAGGGGAGUGAAAAAGAACAUGAAACCGUAAGCUAUCAAACAGUGGGAGGGAUGAAAUCCUGACCGCGUGCCUGUUGAAGAAUGAGCCGGCGACUUAUAGGAAGUGGCUUGGUUAAGAAAAAAAUUCGAAGCCAUAGCAAAAGCGAGUCUGAAUAGGGCGAAAUAGUCACUUCUUAUGGACCCGAACCCGGGUGAUCUAACCACGACCAGGAUGAAGCUUGGGUAAAACCAAGUGGAAGUCCGAACCGACCGAUGUUGAAAAAUCGGCGGAUGAGUUAUGGUUAGGGGUGAAAUGCCAAUCGAACUCGGAGCUAGCUGGUUCUCCCCGAAAUGCGUUGAGGCGCAGCGGUUGACGAAUUAGGGCUGCCUAGGGGUAAAGCACUGUUUCGGUGCGGGCUGCGAGAGCGGUACCAAAUCGUAGCAAACUAAGAAUACUAGGCAUUGCUUUCCGUCAGCCAGUGAGACGGUGGGGGAUAAGCUUCAUCGUCGAGAGGGAAACAGCCCAGAUCACCAGUUAAGGCCCCAAAAUGACCGCUAAGUGGCAAAGGAUGUGAGAAUGCUAAGACAACCAGGAGGUUUGCUUAGAAGCAGCCAUCCUUUAAAGAGUGCGUAAUAGCUCACUGGUAAAGCGUUCUUGCGCCGAAAAUUUACGGGACUAAGCGGUCUGCCGAAGCUGUGAGAUUUUUUUAUGAAAUAAACAUAAGCGUUAACAUAAAAUCUUUGGUUUUAUGUAAUGCUAGCACAUAUGCAAAUCAUUGAUUUGCAGUGCGAGUUAUUUAUGUUAAAUAAAAAAAUCGGUAGGGGAGCGUUCCGCUCUAGGGUGAAGUAAUAACGAAAGUUUUUAUGGACAAAGCGGAAGUGAGAAUGUCGGCUUGAGUAACGCAAACAUUGGUGAGAAUCCAAUGCCCCGAAAACCUAAGGGUUCCUCUACUAGGUUCGUCCAUGGAGGGUGAGUCAGGACCUAAGGCAAGGCCGAAAGGCGUAGUCGAUGGAGAACAGGUUAAUAUUCCUGUACUGGUUUUUGAUUGGUACCGAGGGACGAAGAAGGUCUAGGUUGGCCAAUAUUGGAUUUUGGUGGAAAAGCUCAAAGUUGUAAAAGAUAGAAUAAAAACUAUUCUUGAUAUUUUUAAAUAUCCAGCUAAGACUUGAUACGGUUUUAUUCCCUGGGCUGUUUCAUAACGGAACAGUCUAUAGUAAAACUCAACCGCGGAUCAAACUUCCUAGAAAAGCUCGAACUACUAUUAAAGUCAAGAAUCACCUGUACCCGAAACCGACACAGGUAGGUGGGUAGAGUAUACCUAGGGGCGCGAGAUAACUCUCUCUAAGGAACUCGGCAAAAUGGCCCCGUAACUUCGGGAGAAGGGGUGCCCCCAAAUAUUGGGGGCCGCAGUGACCAGGCCCAGGCGACUGUUUACCAAAAACACAGGUCUCCGCUAAGUCGUAAGACAAGAUAUGGGGGCUGACGCCUGCCCAGUGCCGGAAGGUGAAGGAAGUUGGUUAUUCUUCGGAAAAAGCUGACAACCGAAGCCCCGGUGAACGGCGGCCGUAACUCUGACGGUCCUAAGGUAGCGAAAUUCCUUGUCGGGUAAGUUCCGACCCGCACGAAAGGCGUAACGAUCUGGGCGCUGUCUCGGAGAGAGACUCGGUGAAAUAGACAUGUCCGUGAAGAUGCGGACUUCUUACACCUGGACAGAAAGACCCUAUGAAGCUUUACUGUAGCCUGGAAUUGGGUUUGGGCUUUUCUUGCGCAGUCUAAGUGGGAGGCGUUGAAAAUUUUCUUCCGGGAAAAUUAGAGCCAUCAGUGAGAGACCACUCUGGAAGAGCUAGAAUUCUAAUAGCGUUCCUUGAAUCAGGACGCUUGACAGUUUCAGGUGGGCAGUUUGACUGGGGCGGUCGCCUCCUAAAAGGUAACGGAGGUGUGCAAAGGUUCCCUCAGGCUGGACGGAAAUCAGCCUAAGAGUGUAAAGGCAGAAGGGAGCUUGACUGCAAGACCUACAAGUCGAGCAGGGGCGAAAGCCGGCCUUAGUGAUCCGACGGUACCGAGUGGAAGGGCCGUCGCUCAACGGAUAAAAGUUACUCUAGGGAUAACAGGCUGAUCUUCCCCAAGAGUUCACAUCGACGGGAAGGUUUGGCACCUCGAUGUCGGCUCAUCGCAACCUGGGGCGGUAGUACGUCCCAAGGGUUGGGCUGUUCGCCCAUGAAAGCGGUACGUGAGCUGGGUUCAGAACGUCGUGAGACAGUUUGGUCCAUAUCCGGUGUAAGCGUUAGAGUAUUGAGAGGAGCCUUCCAUAGUACGAGAGGACCUGGAAGGACGUACCUCUGGUGUACCAGUUCUCGUGCCAACGGGAUACGCUGGGUAGCCAUGUACGGAAGGGAUAACUGCUGAAAGCAUCUAAGUAGGAAGCCCACCUCAAGAUGAGUACUCUCUAGAGGUCACAGCAAGAAAAGCUGUUUGAUAGGUGUCAAGUGUAAAGCCAGUAAUGGUUGUAGCUGAGACACACUAACAGACCCAUUGAGUUUGACCA